AAAAAUCAAUAAAAUAUAUAUUUUUUAAAAAAGAGGAAGAGGAAGAAGAAGGCCUUGGAUUGGGUGGUAGACCUCGGGGGCCUCAGCAAUGUCAGUGAAGGGUCUUAAGCAGGGUGAAAUGACAUAAUUAGAUUGCUGGUUUUAAAAGAUUACUGAGCCAGUGGAGAAAAAGCAGGCAGAAGACAGGAGGCUUUUGCUUUAGUUCAGAUGAGAGAUGUUGGUAGCUUAGAGAUGGAGAGAAAUAGACACUUCAAAUAGCUAUUUAGUAGGUAAAAUGUAUAGAACUUCUUAAGUACGUGACCAAGAGGAUUGAAAACAUGUCCACACGAAAACUUGACGUGAAUGUUCAUAGAAGCUCUAUUUAUAUUAGCCAAAAAAAUGGAAACAACCCAAAUGCCUAUCAAUUGAUGAAUAGUUUAUUCAUGCAAAGAAAUAUUAUUCAGCCAUAAAAAGAGAUGAAGAACUGAUACAUGCCACAACUAGAUGAACCCUGAAAAUAUUAUAAGUGAAAGAAACUAACCCCACAGAAAAAUUAUAUAGUAUAUGAUUCCACUUAUAUAAAAUGUCAGAAUAGGUAAAUACAAGAAACAGAAAGUAGAUUAGUUCGGUUGCCAGGGGCUGUGGGUCAGGGGAAAUGGAGAAUGACUGCUUAAUGGGUAUUUUUCUUUUGAAGGUGAUGAAAUGUUCUGGAAUUAGAUCGUGGGCAUGGUUACAUAACUCAGUGACUAUACUAAAAACUAUUGAAAUGUUCAUUUUAAAGGGUGAAUUUUAUGGUAUGUGAAUUAUAUCUCAAUAAAGCUGUUACUUUUUAAAAAAAUCUAUAGAACUUAGUAUGGAUUUAGAUAAGUGAGGUGAGGAAGAAGGUGGUGUCAAGGAUAACACUACAGUUUCUGGCUUAUGUAAGUGGAUGGAGAGAGGAUGCACCCAAGGAGGCCUAAGGGGGAGGGGCGGAGAAAGGUCUUGAGUUUGACGUAUCUGAGGCUUUCAGGAGGGCAGGCACUGACCACAAAGGGUGCCGCAGUGAGAAGGCAGUGGUUCAGCUGGUCCCAAAGAUACUCUGUUAGAAACGUUUUAAGAGAAUCACCUAAUAUAAAUGGAAACAUAAACUUAAAAUUCUUAUAGAAAACUCAAGGACCUUUGAAAGAAAGUCUACUUGACCCUACCAAGGUUCUGUGGAAACUGGCUGAAGAAACACAAUGCUGAAUGCAGAACUCACUUCCCCGCUGAUUGUGGGACACCCACUUCUCAUCCCCAGGGAGUACAGUCAGCAGGGGGAUGGGAUGAAGGGAUGUUGCAUCUGUCAGAUCACCUUGGGUAAAAAUAGUAAAAA